AGCCUCAUUCUAGAUGCAAAUGGGCACUGUUGUUCACAGUGUCCAGAUAUCAUUGAUGUAGCCACACUGAGACAUAGGUUUCGCUGUCAUCACGGUAAUUUUAUUGCAGCAGUGACAAGACUUGUGACCUGU
ensembl:snoRNA